UACAUGUAUACAUUUUGAAAUGUAGGUAACUUGUUAAGAAAAACCAAAGUUAGUCGUUUAGAAUUGCUCGUAUAAACUAUAAAGCAUAUUGUUUAAAGGUAGGACUUGAAUUCGUACUAUGUAGAGAAGAGAUGCCGAUUAGAGUAGAAGUAGGGCACGAAAAACGAACGACUCCUUUAUAUUUCCAUUUAUUGCUGUGUAACUGUACGGAUCCAUAAACGAUUACUGACGAUUGUUGAACGAUGUAAAUUUAUACGCCAACGAGAUUGACAUCGCUUAAAGAAAACGUUUAUAUCAGUCACGAUACGCAGGAAUCAGCACGACUAAAGUAAAAGUUGUAAAAAAUAAAAAACUGUAGUAGAAAUGAAAUGAAAUGAAAUGAAGUGAAUCGAA